rnacentral:precursor_RNA from 1 species
ACACAGCCACCACACUAGCUUUGGACACCUCUACCUAGCUCCAUCUGCAACCAUAUGCAUCUCCACCCUCUCCAUUUGGAACCAGAAAACCAUGGCUUCUUCUCCUGCAUGCUCACUACUCAUCCCUACACAGAAAGCUCUAGCUGCUGCUAGUUUCAUUCUAGUAAUGAUACAAAUAUCAAGAGAAAAAGUGAGAGUCAAAUAGAGGUGUGAGGUGAGGAAGAUGCUGCAGGUAGAAGAAGCUGAGAGAAAGAUAUGAUCAAGCAAGCAAGCAAGCAAGCAAGCAAAAGUUAUCUAGCUAAAGAGGGAGCCUUUUCAUUUUGAGGGGAAUGUUGUCUGGCUCGGGGCUACUUUUAAUUUCUCUGUCUUUUGAUAUCUUCUUUUCUCGAUCUCCUAGCUUGAUCUUUUUGAUCUCUCAAAUCGAUCUUAAGAAAAAGAUCAGUCAAAGAGAUGAGAGUAGAUGUCUGUAGAUCUCGGACCAGGCUUCAUUCCCCCCAAACAGAAGGGCUCCCAUGCAUAUCGAUCAUGAGCUAGCUUAUUACCCCCUGCUUUUGCCUCUUCCAAAUCUGAUGAACUGGGUAAGUUAACUGAAUAUUGCUUAACUAAUCAGCUUUU